GGNCCCCCCCCACCUUUAGAGUAACUCAAACGAGGUACAGCCCAUUUGACACAGGAUACAACCUUCACUAACGGGUAAAAUNUUAACUAACAUCUUUAAGUAGGCCUAAUAGCAGCCAUCUUUCAAAAAGCGUCAAAGCUUAACCGUGUUACCUUAAUUUGAAUAUUCACNCUGACCCCUUUAACUGUAUUGAGAGCUUCUAUAAUNUUAUAGAACCCCUAAUGCUAAAACUAGUAACAAGAGAAAACCCUNUCCUAAAUGCAAGCAUAAGCCAACAAGAACCCAUCACUGGCAACUAACGACCCCAGAGUAGCAACCCCCACUAGAAAACCCUACCUUCCCCCCCCCCGUUAACCUAACACCAGAGCAUUUCAAGAAAGAUUAAAAGAAAGAAAAGGAACUCGGCAAAUUUCAACCCCGCCUGUUUACCAAAAACAUCGCCUCUCGACCCCAUGAGAGGUCUAGCCUGCCCAGUGACUCUGUUCAACGGCCGCGGUAUUCUAACCGUGCAAAGGUAGCGUAAUCACUUGUCUUCUAAAUGGAGACCAGUAUGAAGGGCACCACGAGGAUUAAGCUGUCUCCUCUCUCUAAUCAGUGAACUUAAUNUCCCCGUGAAGAAGCGGGGAUCUAAAUAUAAGACGAGAAGACCCUAUGGAGCUUAAAACAUCCUACACCUGCCACCACUACCCCAACUACCCAGGUAUUUCCCCUAAUGGCAUCCUGACUGCAUGUUUUUGGUUGGGGUGACCGCGGAGAAAAACUCAUCCUCCAUAAUGAAGGGGGGCUUCCCCUAAACAAUAAGUCACAACUUUAUGUACCAAUAAAUUGACAUCUUUGACCCAAUAAAUUGAUUAACGAACCAAGUUACCCUAGGGAUAACAGCACAAUCCACUUUGAGAGUCCUUAUCGACAAGUGGGCUUAUGACCUCGAUGUUGGAUCGGGAUACCCAAGUGGUGCAGCCGCUACUAAAGGUUCGUUUGUUCAACGAUUAAAAUCCCACGUGAUCUGAGUUCAGACCGGAGCAAUCCAGGUCAGUUUCUAUCUAUAAAGCGCUAGUUUCAGUACGAAAGGACCAAAAUAGCAUGGCCUAUGCCCCCGCAAACCAUAAUUAACCAUUUCAGACCCCACUCAAAAAAUAAUUAACCU
rnacentral:rRNA from 1 species